rnacentral:rRNA from 1 species
GGUGUCUUCGGACGCCGGCAUACGGCUCAGUAACACGUAGGUAACCUACCCUCAGGACUGAGAUAACCCCGGGAAACUGGGGCUAAUAUUAGAUAGAUAAAAGAUACUGGAAUGUUCUUUUAUCCAAAGCUUUUGCGCCUGAGGAUGGGCCUGCGUCCGAUUAGGUUGUUGGUGGGGUAAUGGCCCACCAAGCCUGCGAUCGGUACGGGCAGUGGGAGCUGAAGCCCGGAGUUGGGGACUGAGACAAGGCCCCAGGCCCUACGGGGCGCAGCAGGCGCGAAACCUCUGCAAUGCGGGAAACCGUGACAGGGGGAUCCCAAGUGCUCAUGCAUUGCAUGGGCUGUUCUUUGGUCUAAGUAACCAGAGGAGUAAGGGCUGGGCAAGACCGGUGCCAGCCGCCGCGGUAAUACCGGCAGCUCAAGUGGUAGCCGCGAUUAUUGGGCCUAAAACGUUCGUAGCCGGAUAAGUAAGUCUUUGGUUAAAUCCUGCGACUCAACCGUGGGAAUUCUAGAGAUACUGCUUGUCUUGAGACCGGGAGAGGUUGGAGGUACUCCUAGGGUAGGGGUGAAAUCCUGUAAUCCUAGGGGGACCACCUGUGGCGA